rnacentral:rRNA from 1 species
CGUACACGGUGGAUGCCUGGGCAGUCAGAGGCGAUGAAGGACGUACUAACUUGCGAUAAGCGCAGAUAAGGCAGUAAGAGCCGUUUGAGUCUGCGAUUUCCGAAUGGGGAAACCCAACUGCAUAAGCAGUUACUGUUAACUGAAUACAUAGGUUAACAGAGCAAACCGGGGGAACUGAAACAUCUAAGUACCCCGAGGAGAAGAAAUCAACCGAGAUUCCGGUAGUAGCGGCGAGCGAACCUGGAUUAGCCCUUAAGCACUCGGUGAAGUAGGUGAACAAGCUGGAAAGCUUGGCGAUACAGGGUGAUAGCCCCGUAACCGACGCUUCAUCGAGCGUGAAAUCGAGUAGGGCGGGACACGUGAUAUCCUGUCUGAAUAUGGGGGGACCAUCCUCCAAGGCUAAAUACUCCUGACUGACCGAUAGUGAACCAGUACCGUGAGGGAAAGGCGAAAAGAACCCCUGUGAGGGGAGUGAAAUAGAACCUGAAACCGUGUACGUACAAGCAGUAGGAGCACCUUCGUGGUGUGACUGCGUACCUUUUGUAUAAUGGGUCAGCGACUUAUAUUCAGUGGCAAGGUUAACCGUAUAGGGGAGCCGUAGCGAAAGCGAGUCUUAACUGGGCGCUCAGUCUCUGGAUAUAGACCCGAAACCGGGUGAUCUAGCCAUGGGCAGGUUGAAGGUUGAGUAACAUCAACUGGAGGACCGAACCGACUAAUGUUGAAAAAUUAGCGGAUGACUUGUGGCUAGGGGUGAAAGGCCAAUCAAACUCGGAGAUAGCUGGUUCUCCCCGAAAGCUAUUUAGGUAGCGCCUCGGACGAAUACUACUGGGGGUAGAGCACUGUUAAGGCUAGGGGGUCAUCCCGACUUACCAACCCUUUGCAAACUCCGAAUACCAGUAAGUACUAUCCGGGAGACACACGGCGGGUGCUAACGUCCGUCGUGGAGAGGGAAACAACCCAGACCGCCAGCUAAGGUCCCAAAGUAUUGCUAAGUGGGAAACGAUGUGGGAAGGCUCAGACAGCUAGGAUGUUGGCUUAGAAGCAGCCAUCAUUUAAAGAAAGCGUAAUAGCUCACUAGUCGAGUCGGCCUGCGCGGAAGAUGUAACGGGGCUAAGCAAUACACCGAAGCUGCGGCAAUAUCUUUUAGAUAUUGGGUAGGGGAGCGUUCUGUAAGCCGUUGAAGGUGAAUCGUAAGGUUUGCUGGAGGUAUCAGAAGUGCGAAUGCUGACAUGAGUAACGACAAAGGGGGUGAAAAACCUCCUCGCCGGAAGACCAAGGGUUCCUGUCCAACGUUAAUCGGGGCAGGGUGAGUCGACCCCUAAGGUGAGGCCGAAAGGCGUAAUCGAUGGGAAACGGGUUAAUAUUCCCGUACUUCUGACUAUUGCGAUGGGGGGACGGAGAAGGCUAGGUGGGCCAGGCGACGGUUGUCCUGGUUCAAGUGCGUAGGCUUGAGAGUUAGGUAAAUCCGGCUCUCUCUAAGGCUGAGACACGACGUCGAGCUGCUACGGCAGUGAAGUCAUUGAUGCCAUGCUUCCAGGAAAAGCCUCUAAGCUUCAGAUAGUCAGGAAUCGUACCCCAAACCGACACAGGUGGUCGGGUAGAGAAUACCAAGGCGCUUGAGAGAACUCGGGUGAAGGAACUAGGCAAAAUGGUACCGUAACUUCGGGAGAAGGUACGCUCUUGAUGGUGAAGUCCCUCGCGGAUGGAGCUGACGAGAGUCGCAGAUACCAGGUGGCUGCAACUGUUUAUUAAAAACACAGCACUGUGCAAAAUCGCAAGAUGACGUAUACGGUGUGACGCCUGCCCGGUGCCGGAAGGUUAAUUGAUGGGGUUAGCGCAAGCGAAGCUCUUGAUCGAAGCCCCGGUAAACGGCGGCCGUAACUAUAACGGUCCUAAGGUAGCGAAAUUCCUUGUCGGGUAAGUUCCGACCUGCACGAAUGGCGUAAUGAUGGCCACGCUGUCUCCACCCGAGACUCAGUGAAAUUGAAAUCGCUGUGAAGAUGCAGUGUACCCGCGGCUAGACGGAAAGACCCCGUGAACCUUUACUACAGCUUGGCACUGAACAUUGAACCUACAUGUGUAGGAUAGGUGGGAGGCUAUGAAGACGUGACGCCAGUUGCGUUGGAGCCGUCCUUGAAAUACCACCCUUGUAUGUUUGAUGUUCUAACUUAGACCCAUUAUCUGGGUUGAGGACAGUGCCUGGUGGGUAGUUUGACUGGGGCGGUCUCCUCCCAAAGAGUAACGGAGGAGCACGAAGGUGGGCUAAUCACGGUUGGACAUCGUGAGGUUAGUGCAAUGGCAUAAGCCCGCUUAACUGCGAGAAUGACGGUUCGAGCAGGUGCGAAAGCAGGUCAUAGUGAUCCGGUGGUUCUGUAUGGAAGGGCCAUCGCUCAACGGAUAAAAGGUACUCCGGGGAUAACAGGCUGAUACCGCCCAAGAGUUCAUAUCGACGGCGGUGUUUGGCACCUCGAUGUCGGCUCAUCACAUCCUGGGGCUGAAGUCGGUCCCAAGGGUAUGGCUGUUCGCCAUUUAAAGUGGUACGCGAGCUGGGUUUAGAACGUCGUGAGACAGUUCGGUCCCUAUCUGCCGUGGGCGUUGGAAGAUUGAAGGGGGCUGCUCCUAGUACGAGAGGACCGGAGUGGACGAACCUCUGGUGUUCGGGUUGUGUCGCCAGACGCAUUG